rnacentral:lncRNA from 1 species
AUGGAGCAUGCAGAAAUCUUGCUUUUUGAAGCACCCUGGAAACAGGCUUGUGUUUUUUGGUACCUAGGUGGCCCGGAAGAUCUUGUUGGGAAGCAAGCACCAAAUAGUGCCAGAUCACAUCAGGCUGUAAGAUACCUGAGGACUGUUUGUUUGCAGACUGCUGGAAGACAGAGACGGAAUCACCUAUUGGUGAGUCAUAACCACACAAUCGCAGAGGAGUGAUGGCACAGACUCGCAAAGACACAGAGAGUGAUAACAGCUUAAAACUGUCUUCUUUCCCCUUCUACUUUUUGAUAAAAAAACAAAAUACUGGGACUAGAUUCUCAGCCGGGGCAAAGGAAAGUAACUCCAUUGCUUUUGUCACAGCACACAUUUACACUUUCUGAGGUUGUAGCCCGUUCUGUUUGUCAAAAAUUGUUCUUCCUGAGUAGAUUAUUCCUUCCUUUCUAUAAACUUGAGUUUAAUUCUUGGAAAAUGGCUGGCUUGCUAUGUUCUUUAUUGUUGUAAGCUUGCUUGACAGGGGAAAGGAAGGCUAAUCAAACACUGGGCCACUGGCAUGCAGAGCAAUAAAAAGGAAAAUGGGAGUAUCUUAGGUCCUUAC